GAUCAGAAGUUCUGGACUAUAGUGUGCUGUACCGUCUGGGAGUCUUCACUAUGUUUAGCAUUAGCGUGAUUACCUCCUGGGAGUGGGGGACCACCAGGUUGCCUGAGGAGGAGUGAACUUGUACAGGUCAGAAAUGGAGCGGAUCCAAGGUCCUUGCUAAUCAGUAGUGGCAUCGUGCCUAUGAAUAGCCACUGCACUCCAGCCUGGGC
ensembl:misc_RNA Metazoa_SRP Metazoan signal recognition particle RNA